UUGCUUGAAUAUAGCGAAGUUUUUACCAAAUUCCCCACGGAAGACACGAGGACAGAUUCAGGUAAUUUUCGGACCGAUGUUUUCUGGAAAAAGCACUGAACUGAUGCGGCGCGUGCGGAGGUUUCAGGUGGCUCAGUAUUCCUGUCUUCUCGUCAAAUAUGCCAAAGACACGCGCUACUCUCAGACGGGGAUGGCCACGCAUGACAUGUAAGAGAGCAGCUGGUGUAUAUCG